UUUUCCUUCAAUGCACUGUUCUUUGGUUUGGGAAACGGGCUCUAUUUGUACCGUGCUUUAAAUGUACACAAUGGUUCUAAAUUGCUACUUUUCGUUAAAGUUAGAUAUAACAUCUUAAUUAAAAUGUCAUCCAUAAUUGAGGCACAGUCUGAGGCCUGGAGACCCCUCUUGUCACUUCCAGCCGUGUCUCCUUCCCUGGCCACGUUGCCCCUGGCCACAUCUCCUCCCCCCACCACGCCGUGUCAUCCCCCUACCACGUCACCUCUGGUCACAUCAACUCCCUCCCGGCCACAUCACCUCUGGCCUCACUGCCUGCCUCCCUCCCUCCCUGGUAGCCUCUGUGACUCCUGCUGUCUACCCUCCCGUGGGUCUGUUCAAGGCUCCUUCCCCGUUUUCUGCUCCUGAGUGGGUCUCGGGGCCUGGAUGUUUCAGAGGAUGCAAGUUUCUUCCCUUCCUGCUGCGGGUCUCUGAGCGACAAGUCCAGAGAGGGCACUAAGCUCUCCUUACCCACCUGGGGGCCCCGAGCCCUGACCGCCGACCACCAGGGCUUUUCUGCAGGGUGUGGGGCAGACUCAUGCAUGAAUUGGACUAAAAAGUUGCUUCCAGGAAUCCUUGUUUUAAGUGCACUGGAGCAGAGAUGGGGAGAGGGGACCACCGGGUUUGCUCAGAAUUUGGCCCUGCUCACAGCCAAUGAGGCAACAUAAGCACCUCCUAAAUGAAGCAUUCCACAGACUGAUUUUACACAAUGACGGUUGUGAUGGCUGGAAAAGGCUUCACACAAUGAGUGAGUUUGAGCUGCAUUUGAAGGAAGAACAGGUCCCUGUAGGUGGAAAUGAAAGAUAAGCGUGACCCAAGCCAUCAGCAGCAGCGGGGGUGGGGUGGUGCAGACUCCCCAUGGAUGGUGGACAUGGCUGAAAUGCAGGAGAGGGCAGGGGUGCGAAGGAACAGCAGGGCGGCAGUAAAAUUCCCCUGCAGAGAGGGGACGUGACUGAGAUAUUAUCACAUGUAUACAACUGAGAGAUGAUCUGAGGAUGAUUUCUGGGAGCCUAUGGGAAGAGCACGUGGUCAUCACCAGUUCUCGGGAUCUUUUUUUAUGAAGUGAAAACAGUCAUGCCUCUGCCUAUCUUGUGAGCUGUUAAGAUCAAAUCGGAUAAUCUUCAGCGAGCCUUGUAAAUGCUAAAGGUUAUUGACAGACCGUUCCAGCCCCCUUGUCUCCACCCUCCUUUCCUCCUCGGUAACGUGAACCGUGCUGGGUUCCUCAUUAUCUGCCUGGCUUCCUCCUCCAUAACGUGAGCCUUGAGUACUUGCUGGGUACCUCGCUGUCCACCUUCCUUCCUCAGUAACGUGAGCCCUGAGUAUUUGCUGGGUACCUCGCUGCCUGCCAUACAGCUGGCUGUAGAAUUGUCAAACGCACUUGACUGGCACAUAAACAAAAGUGCUCGCCAGGCCUUGGGAGGGCUUUGUGACAUGUGGGUGCCUUCUGUUCCCUGUUAGGCUGGAGCUGCAGGAGCCCUCCUAGACCAG
rnacentral:lncRNA from 1 species